GACGAACGCUGGCGGCGUGCUUAACACAUGCAAGUCGAACGGAAAGGCCUCUUUCGGGGGGUACUCGAGUGGCGAACGGGUGAGUAACACGUGAGUAACCUGCCCUUGACUUUGGGAUAACUUCAGGAAACUGGGGCUAAUACCGGAUAGGAGCUCCUGCUGCAUGGUGGGGGUUGGAAAGUUUCGGCGGUUGGGGAUGGACUCGCGGCUUAUCAGCUUGUUGGUGGGGUAGUGGCUUACCAAGGCUUUGACGGGUAGCCGGCCUGAGAGGGUGACCGGCCACAUUGGGACUGAGAUACGGCCCAGACUCCUACGGGAGGCAGCAGUGGGGAAUAUUGCACAAUGGUGGAAGCCUGAUGCAGCAACGCCGUGUGCAGGAUGACGGCCUUCGGGUUGUAAACCGCUUUCGCUCAUGACGAAGCUUUGUGUGACGGUAGUGGGUAAAGAAGCACCGGCUAACUACGUG
rnacentral:rRNA from 1 species